GAUUAUGCAUAAAGCUGCUAUGAACAUUCAUGUACAAGUCUCUGUGUGGACAUAUGCUUUCAUUUCUCGUGGAUAAUACAUAGGAGCAGAAUUUCUGGAUUAUGUAAAAAGUGAAUGCUUAACUGUAUAUAAGCAACUGCCAGACUGGCUUCCAAAGUAGCUGUACCAUUUUACACUCCCACCAGCAGUGUAUGAGAGUUCCAGCUACUCCACAUUCACUCAUACUUGGUGCUGUGAUUCUUUCUAAUUUUAGCCAUUUUAAUAGGUGUGUAGUGCAAUCUCACUGUGGUUUUAAUUUGCUUUUCCCUGAUGACUAACGGUGUUAAGCAUUUUUUUAUAUGCUUGUUAGCCUUUAUAUUUGCUUUAGUGAAGUGUCUGUUUAAUCUCCUGCCUAUUUUUAAUUGGGUUUUUGUCUUAUUAUUGAGUUGUGAGUGCUCAUUAUAUAUUUUAGGUACAAGUCCCUUAUCAGGUUUUUGUAUUGUAAAUAUUGCCUCCUAGUCAGUGGUUUACUUUUCCUUAUUAUAAUGGUACUUUAGAAGAGCAGAAGUUUUAAAUUUUGAUGAAAUUCAAUUUAUCAGUUUUUUCAUUUAUGGUUUGUAUUUUGUGUCCUAAGAAAUCUUUGCUUUCCCAAAGUCAUAGUUUCUUGUUAUGUUUUCUUCUAGAAGAUUAAUUGUUUAGCUUUGACAUUUCAGCAUAUGAUGUUUUCAUUGUGAUUAUGAUUAAUUUUUAUACAAAGUUUGAGGUAAGGGACAAGGUUUAUUGGGUUUUUUUUUUUUUCUGUAUGAAUAUCCAGUUGGAACACUUCCACUUACUGGGGGAAAGAAAACUUUUUCACUAUUGGAUUACUGUGAUGCCUUUGUCAAAAUCUCCUGACAUUAUAUAUGUUGGUCUGUUUCUGGGUCACAUGUUCUAUUCCAUUCAUCUAUGUAUCCAUUCUUAUACCAAACCUACACUGUCCAAUUUAUGUAGCUUCAUGGCAAGUCUUUAAAUCAGAUAAAGUAAUUUCUCCAACUUUUUCAUCUUUUACAAAUGAAGAAAGCCAAUUUGAUUUGAUUUCAGAACAACCUGUUGGCCAACAACAACCUCACAGAUACAAUUCUGAAUGAUACGCACACUACCACCAAUUUCAAAUACUUUUCUACCCCAAAUUAAGUUUCUUCAUUCAACGUAAGCAUUACUUCUACUUCAAUACGGUGCUCUGCCAAAACUUAUAUUUGUAUUAUCACCAGAAACAUGAAUUAUUUUACCUAUAGUGAUCAACUUUUUAACUAAAUCUAUGAUAACAUUCACAAUAAUGGAAGAAAUGGCAGAUGUUUCACCUUUGACCGAAUGAACUUUCAAAUAGUUUGCUCUUUUAUUUUAUGAAUUGAAUGUAAAAGUGGAACCACUAUUGAAAUCAAUUGAAUUGAGUUUCUAUUUGAAAUAUCUGAUAUAAUGCAUAUAAAUCAGGCAUCAUUUAACUAUUUGCAAACUUCGGCUGCUGCUAAUGGAGACAAUACAUUAACAGCUUUGGCUUUAUUUCUUGUAAAUGCACAAGAAAAAAAUAUAUAUUGGGUAUCUGUCGUGUACCACUUCAGAUUAUCUCAGCCUCCCCGGUUCCACUUGGUUUUCCCACUGGUGCAUCCUAAAAGUCUUUCACCUCAGCUCUGUAUCUUCGGUUUGGAUUUCUUUGUGUUCCAGAGCUUCACUGCAAGACACCUUGCAGAAUAUUUCACAUACAUAUACAACCUAGAAGUAAGGUAAUGGCUCCUGGAAGGAACUUGUAACCAAUGGGUCGGCUGUUGAAUGCUACCCCUUUCUUCAUCUGAAGGACUGUCUUGGAAUGUGUUUAAUAUGGCUCUUCAGGCAGCUGGUGGAUCGAACAGACACCCCCAAGAGAUCACCCAAUUCCAGAACUCCCAUGGGAUCAGUUGAGGCUUCUGCUGCACCUGCAUCACAAUUCAAUUUUCCUACUGCCCAAUCCUGCUUCCCUUGCUCCCUCACAGGUGCUGUUCCCAAUAACGCCCUGGAGGCAAACCUACAUCUCAGAGUCUAUUCUUCAAAAAUCCAGCCUAAGCUGCCAAAAGGUUUUUUUUUUUUUUUUUUUUUUUGCAACAUUUUAAAAAAGCAUUACCAAACAAUGAAAUAAAUGCUAUUUUCAUCAUGCAAUAAAUAAUAAAACCUCUGUACUGAAAGUGUUCAGUCUAUUCUGUAUUCACUUUUUGGUAUGACUGCUCAGCCUGUAUUUCCUGCACAUGUUUCAUGUAUACCUAACCCAUAAUCUCCCCAUUUCUCUCUGACUCAGCCCACUGAUGGUCUGGCAGGUGUACCAAGAGGCCAGCAGGAGCAGUACCAUUGACUGUCUCCCCCACAGUCACUGGAGAUAGAAGGAACUAGCUGUCAUUACUGAUCCCAUCUGAGGACCACUUUGGUUUUUAUCGAUAAGCACUCUGCACACUUUCCUUGAAAAGAAGAUGGGGG